rnacentral:rRNA from 1 species
AUGGAGAGGUCCAAAACCUUCACCAUUGAAUCGAAGAAGGAUUGGCCGGUGCUGUCGGCUGGCGUCAAGUUCGAUCCCACGGAUCAGGAGCUGAUCGAGCACCUUGAGGCCAAAGUGAGUGCUGACAGCACGAGAUCUCACCCUCUCAUUGAUUUGUUCAUACCAACCAUCGACAACGAGCACGGCAUAUGCUACACCCAACCUGAGAAACUUCCAGGUAUCACACUGAGUGGCCUAAGGAAGCAUUUCUUCCAGGCGAGCAGCAAAAAUGUUCUGGUGCUGCACACCAACAAGAACUUCGACUAG